ACCUGAGGUCGGGAGUUCAAAACCAGCCUGACCAAUGUGGAGAAACCCUGUCUCUACUAAAAAAAUACAAAAUUAGCUAGGCAUGGUGGCACAUGCCUGUAAUCCCAGCUACUCGGGAGGCCGAGGCAGGAGAAUCGCUUGAACCCGGGAGGCAGAAGUUGCGGUGAGCCAAGAUCAGGCCAUUGCACUCCAGCCUGGGCAAUAAGAGUGAAACUCCAUCUUGAAAAAAAAAAAAAAAGAAAGAAAAAGAAAAAUUCAUGUAUUUGGUUUAGAAGGUGCAAUAACCAGACAAAAAUCUCCAUUCUUUUGGAAUAAGGGGAGUGGAAUGUGACAUCUGCAGCCAGCUUCCUGUAGUGAUACAUCAACGUUGCAAAGUGCAGAUGAAAGAGCAGGGCUUUUGAAAGCCCAUUUUUAAAGCUUUUCCUUUCACUUUCUACCUAUUGAUUAGUUACCAGUUGUUCUCUUCUUUCUACUUGUAGGCCAUAUUAUUUCAUUUCCACUCCACAAAUCCAACAUAGUUAAUUGGGUUUGAUAUUAAUGAGCUUGUACAGCUAAAACAUGGAAAUAUAAUAACUACUGUUGAUCGAUCUUUCAGCCCCGUCACGAAGGGCCCUCGUAACUGGACCUCAUGCCAAACAACUCGUUACAAAAAGAGCUAGGGUCUCAGACCACGCAGAAGCUUCAUGAGACCCCUCCUUGUCUGCAUGGACAAGUGGUCGACUCUGGAUCCCAAGAUGUUGCUUCCCAGUUUGGUGGUGAAUCCUCCAUAGUCUGGUGAGUCUAACUGAAAGGCUCAACACUCCAGUGAAGAAGAAACCACAAAUGAUGAACAAAUGUUUUGUCACUCUUUCAGAUUCAGAAAUUUUGCUUGAAAAAAGUCUGAAGAAACUAAUUUAGGAAAGAAACCUCUGCCAAUAACUCUAAAGAGUUUGAAUUGGUUGCCUUUAUUCCUAACACUAUGAUGUUUUGGGAUAGGAACUAGUAGAUGGUAUUUUUUCUUUCCCAUUGGCAGUAUAUCAUUUACAACAGAUGUUCCCGACUCAGGAUAAAAUGUAACUGGCAGCCAGAGUCACCCACCAGCCCCUGAGGAAAGGGCUCAACCUUGAGAACAUCUGGCUGGCUUCAAGAAGGUCACACAAAUACAAGAUGAUGCUGAGGAUAAGACAAGUGGUUUUGAGAGAGGAAAACCUUUAAAAAUAUUUGGAAGAGUCCUGAAGACCAAUAAAAUAAAGACACUGCAAUACUUCAUGGACACCAGAGAGCAAUUUAACACUGAAAUGAAAGCAACAUGUUGCACCUGAACACUGAAAAAAGCCCAUGUGUUAAGAGGAAGAAGAAAUAUGCAAUUCACUGCAAUAAAUAUUGAACCUUUAAAAAACAGAAGGAACAUGAAAACUAAAGGACACUGGGCCACAGCAAAUAAGGUGGCGGCAGCCAUCCCAUAAUGAUUACAUGAUCUCCAUGAUUGUAAAAUGUAUAUGCCACCUGAAUUUAUUCUUAGACCUUCUCUCAAAGAUGUCUGCAUUCAACACAGGCAAUAACUGCAGGUAAUAGUGAAGAAUCCUUCAGGCAUGAUAGAGGAACAGACUAAGUGUGGGAAAAGGAAGAACUAGGCCGGGCGCGGUGGCUCACGCCUGUAAUCCCAGCACUUUGGGAGGCCGAGGCGGGCGGA
rnacentral:lncRNA from 1 species